UUGGUACUGUUAUUGUGUUUUGCUUUCAGGAUAGAGACUCAUGUAGUAGUCAUUUCAUAGUGACCAAGUAAUGAAAGGAAGAGAUAGAGGCCAGAGUUCCAGUACAUCGUCCUUCAGGGGCACACCCUCAAAGAUAUAACUUCUUUCAGUUGGGUGUCACCCCUUCAAAGGUUCAGAACGAGUUCUUAAAUGCUGGGGUUUUGACAUUCAAUCUUGAUCUAAGCCAUUACACCCCAAGCUUGCAAUAGGACAGAUAAGAACAAGAAAUGUGAUUCAACAAUGACAGAUGAAAGGAGGGAAGAGAAUCCUGUGAAGAACAAUGCUGGUUCAGUUGAGAUGGUAGCACAAAGAAAAGACACACAAAGGAUUUCCACAGACACAGAGCAAACCCAGAGGCUAUAAACUCCAGAAGAGGAGAGUGCCCAGCAUUGAUCAAACUAUCAAGGGACAGCAGUUAUUUAUUUUUUAAUGGAAGAAGGUAGAGGAGGAAAAGCAGGGAGAAGAUAGAAAAGAGGAGGAAGGGGAUAAAGAAGGGAGGUCAGAAGGAUAAGCAUAAUAAGUAAUCAAUGCAAGACUCUAAAAGAUUGGUUUUCUGUCAUCUCAUCAUCAUGAAGCUGGUGGGGACCUUGUUCCUGAGCUUGGAAAAGAGCUGCAAUUCUUAGUAAGAGAAGAUUUAUGAUCAAGAACACACUGACAAAACCCACAAAAGCCAGGCUUCUCCAGAGCACAUAGAAUCGAGGUGAUCAGCCUGGGGGACAUAUGGAAGCCAUCCAGACUGAGCCCGGGACCCCCGUGGAAGAAUUAGGGGACUGAAUGAAGGAGCUGAAUGGAAUUGCAACCCCAUAGGAAGAACAACAUCAACCGUUCCCUUCCCACCCACAGAGCUCCCAGAGACUAAACCACCAAACAAAGAGUAUGUGUGGAUGGGUCCAUGGCUCCAGCUACACAUGCAGCAGAGGAUUGCCUUAUCUGGCAUCAGUGAGUGGGGAGGCACUUCAUCCUGUGCAGGCGUGAUGUUCCAGCGAAGGUACCAGGGAGCUGUGCUGCAUACUGCUUCUUUGUUGGCAAACUCCGCUGAAACAGAUAUACAAAAAGAAGUGAUUUCAUGCGUGCAUAAAAUACAGAGGACACACUAACCACCUGGAAAGACUCAUCUGGAAUGCGGCUGAUGUGCAAUUCGAGACCCAAGUUUACCUUUGGUGAUAAUAGAGAGACCCAAUGGAAGAACAUGAUCUCAUCUACUAGGCAUUGACAUUUAUCGGAAUGCACAGAUCCAUAGGUCACUUGGUACAAUCCAAUUCUCUCCCAAUUUUUAUAAGAAAAGCAGACACUUUGGUUAAAGACGGCAAAGGCC